ACUCAAAUGAAUUGACGGGGAGGCGCACAACCGGUGGAGCGUGUGGUUCAAUUCGAGACGAAGCGAAAAACCUCACCAGGGUUUGAAACGCUAGCGUUCUAUGCUUAUGAAAGUAGGCAAAUCCGUAAGGAGGCUAGUACAGGUGUUGCAUGGCCGUCGUCAGCUCUAGGCGUGAGCUGUAGGCUUAAGUGCCAUAUAGAGCGCAACUCUUGCUUAAUGUUAUAUACUCAUUAGGAACUGCCCCACGUAUAGUGGGGAGGAAGGUAGGAAAGACGUCAGGUCAGCACGACCCUUAUACCCUGGGCUACACACACCCUACAAUGGCGAAAAACAAUGAGUCGCAAGCCGGUAACGGCAAGCUAAUCUCACAAAUUUCGCCCCAGUUCAGAUUGAGGGCUGCAACUUGCCCUCAUGAAGUCGGAAUCGGUAGUAAUCGCGAAUCAGCAGGUCGCGGUGAAUACGUUCUCGCCUCUUGUACACACCGCCCGU
rnacentral:rRNA from 1 species